GUCUGUGGGGCGAGAGGCUGCAAUACUCCAUCCCGGGUGUCUGGGCUGCUCACCAGGCCGGCUCAGGCUUCCCACAUCCUGUACCCUGGGUUGGGCAGCACACCCCCAGGAAGGGACCCCGGACACGGCUACCACCUCUAGGCUUAAAGCGAAUGCACUUCCCGCAUCUCCAGUCUUCCGUGUAGCAGCUUUAACCUAUGUAUGUCUGUGCCACAUCCAGUCCUCAGACGGCUGAGUGACCCCAAGAAAGGCUUCCCCGACACCCAGACAGAGGCUGCAGGGCUGGGGCUGGGUGAGGGUGGCGGGCCUGCGGGGACAUUCUACUGUGCUAA
rnacentral:lncRNA from 1 species